rnacentral:rRNA from 1 species
GGAAGGGAUGUAUUUAUUAGAUAAAAAACCAAUGCCCUUCGGGGCUCCUUGGUGAUUCAUAAUAACUUAACGAAUCGCAUGGCCUUGCGCCGGCGAUGGUUCAUUCAAAUUUCUGCCCUAUCAACUUUCGAUGGUAGGAUAGUGGCCUACCAUGGUGGCAACGGGUAACGGGGAAUUAGGGUUCGAUUCCGGAGAGGGAGCCUGAGAAACGGCUACCACAUCCAAGGAAGGCAGCAGGCGCGCAAAUUACCCAAUCCCGAUCCGGGGAGGUAGUGACAAUAAAUACUGAUAUAGGGCUCUUUUGGGUCUUAUAAUUGGAAUGAGUACAAUCUAAAUCCCUUAACGAGGAACAAUUGGAGGGCAAGUCUGGUGCCAGCAGCCGCGGUAAUUCCAGCUCCAAUAGCGUAUAUUAAAGUUGUUGCAGUUAAAAAGCUCGUAGUUGAACCUUGGGCCCGUCCUGCCGGUCCGCCUCACCGCGAGUACUGGUCCGGAUGGGCCUUUCUUUCUGGGGAAUCCCAUGGCCUUCACUGGCUGUGGCGGGGAACCAGGACUUUUAC